UAAAAUAUUUUUCUAAAUUGUAUCGAUGGUCCCGGCCAUGGCCAAACCUUUAUUUUCCAAAGUACCAUCCAUGUUUUAAAAGCCAAUAAAGAAAACUAUUGCCAAUAAAGAACUAUUUCAAGCGUUGGUGAUGACACCCUUAAAACAGGACGAACAUGAAUUAUGGUGGAUUGAGGAUGACGCUCUCUUUCAAGCAUGUGGACUUAUCGUGGCUGCCGCGCAUAUAGGCAAGACUGUAUUUAUAACAUGGAACGAGAAUUAUUUGCUAAACUACCGAUUCAAGAGGACGAAAGAUAACUCUAAAGUAAAAAUUACUUCCGUUCGAAUUCCACUGCCCAAUAAGGGAGGAAGCUACCUUAAGAGUGUGCAUGCUCUAAGGUGCAAUACCAUCCUGCUUAUGUCAAAUGGAGAGGUAUACUGUUUCAUCUCAUUUAAAGCUGUGCAUUUAAUAAAAUGGCUCAGUGAAGUCCGCUGCUUGGCGAUUGUGGGCCAAGAAUUCAGCGUGAUUCGAAGGCAGGAGCAACGCAUGCUGUUGCAGACAUAUCUUGAUAUUCCUGGAAUAGAGAACGGCGAGAGCACGCUGCAACACACAUUCGACAUUACUUACUACGCAGAAAACAUAUUUCAGUGCGACUGGAACGACGAUAAGUACACUUUGACAUCUUUAAAGGUAUCCGAAAAAGAAGAACAUUUCGUGCAGAGCCUGCUUGGGACAAACGCGAUCAAAUACAACUACGUUCACAUUUUUAGCAUAAAUGGACAUGUGUUUGCAAUGGCUCAUGGACUUAGUGGGGUCUCCGAAACAGUCGGUCAAGACUAUCACAUUGAGCUCAUAUGCGUAUACACUACAAAUGUAAGGUUCAUCCAAUUUUUGCCAAAUGAAAACCUCUGCUUAGUGUUUCUUGACAGUGGCAGUGUGGGCAUGUGGUAUGUGUCCAGUGUCCUUAAAAUCAAACAAAGUCAAAUUCAUCAGACUGGUUCUCAAUGGCUUGACUACGACACAAGCGACAAUGGCGACGUCUACUACACGGACGGCAAGCAGCUAGUGCGGCUAAGAUUCAAGUACAACAUUCAGAUUGACGAGUGCAUUGUCCACACCUUGAGAAUGGCAGUCCCCGGCGUCCAGGUCUGCAGUUGGCUAUACCACAGAGAAGAAUUGGUUUGCCUGAGCGACAACAACAUAUUUUACUGCAUAGCCUUAUCCGAAGAAAAAGCAGCUGGUCGGUUCUCAAGGACGGACUUAAUUCCUGCAGCCAUCGAUCGACUGCAGUACAACGCCACUGCCUUGCAUUUAUCUAAAAUGCAGCCAGCUCUGCUCCAGAAAAACUUUCAGAUGGAGUAUAAAAAGCAGCAGCUCAUUUCUGUGAGUAAAAACAUUCACAGAUUCAGUUUGGCCUUUAAGGUGUAUAUGGAAUACCAUUGCCACGUUCCUAGCUGUGACGGGGAUGUCGUACAUCUGCAGCCCGCUCAGAGUCAAGGUCUUCACGCAGAUUGUAUAUUUGCAGUGUUAAAUUUUAUACUUGUCGACAGCCAGCCCCUCUUCAGCAGUUCGUAUUGGAGACUUUUGACAUUUUUUGAUCACCAUGUCCACGUCUACCUGCUGCCCACAGAGAUACUUGUGAAGAAAAAAUGUCGCAUGGUGAUUCCAAUUAGAAAACGGAAAAAUCAACUUCUACCGCGAUUCAAAUUGCAGCUUGUGGGAUUUAUUGAGGUUGAUAGCCAAAUAAAUGCUGUGUUUUUUCCAAUAUCAGCAGAGAAAUGCGAAUCGACUUACCGUGCUGUUUUUAGUGUAAGCCCAGCGGUAAGAAACCCUAGACCGAAUGAUCUACCGUCGUGUAAAAAACUAUGUGGACCGACAAUUAGACAGGAUAUUAGGCUAGCAAGUCAUUUGACUCUAUCUCGCAUAUCAGCUUUAUUUCGCGUUGCUGACUGCGUUACCUUUAACUUUUUAGAAUUGUACUUCGUAGACGAAAAGCUUACUUUUCGAUGCACUACAAAUGUAGGGGAAAUCAAUUUAACAGGGAUACUGGAAAGCGAAGAUGCUUCAGCAAUCUACUAUUUCAAGCAAAAUAUUAUUCUGAAUGCGGAAAUCCUGGAUUUACCCCCUGCACCACUAGAAAACGCUUUAACUUUAAAUAAAAUAUUGAAAUUUCAGUGCGAGUCUGAGAGAUUGUACGGAGCACAAAGUAAAGAUGUCUUGGACUACGAAAAGAUUUCUGAAGGAUGUUUGAAAUCAAAAUACAAUGCUAUUAGAACUGUCAUAACUUAAAUUUCCAUAUUGAGCAACUUAAUUUGCAUGCUUUUGCACAGUCCGGUUUUAACUUAGGUUCUUAAAAUCUCUGUCUACACGAUUUUACGUAAACUAUUUUUUUAUUUUAAAUUAUUAUUUUAUUUUAUUUUAAAUUAUCUAAUUCACAACCGUUUUUUUUUGUUUGAGCGAUCAAACAAAAAGUUUUUAUUUGUCGAAUGUAAAAUCACUUUAAAGAAUCGGGUCAUUCUUCUCCACCAAACACCGACAGUUCGAUCGUUUUAUAUUUUUAACUUUUACCGAAAUUUCUCUUGAGCCACUUAAACCUCUUAAGCUCUUGGUACGCAAACCUAAGCUAAACCUUUCGACUGGUGUACCAUCACAACAGAUUUCCAAUAUACGGCUAUAUAUAUUAGUCGCAUUUACACACACCCAGUGCGCUUCGUCUGUACGUGUACUGCCAUCCACAAUGAAAAGAAUUCCAAAAAAGAGUUAAUCAAGCCCCAUCCCGCAUUGCUCCGAUCGGGAUGAUUCUAUUUUAAAAAUAUACAUAUGCUUUCGUGCGUUGUUUCUAUGCGGUACCAAAAAUAAGCUGCACCAACUGCUAAGGUAGACGUUUUACUUUUGAGAUCGGCCACUACAUACACAUUGUACAAAUAAACAACUCUUA